GAUGCAAGUGCUCUAUAGAUCUGCAGAACAGACCUGAACAAACUCAUAACAGUCUUUCUGCUUUCCUGUGCGGCAGUGGAAACGAAAUGUGGGAAGGAGAAAUCAAGAGAAGUUGUGUGAAUGUUUGGUGUGAAUCAAAGUGUCCAAAGCAUCUUCAUCUUUCUGAGUGCCAGAGGAAUGUGGAAUAUGCGUACUGACAGGGUGUUUGGAGCCCAAGGGAGGACAACUGAGGAAAGAGGCCGGACUGAUGGAAAUGCUCUUCCCUACAGGAGCCCUCAUAUUGAGGUCUUGGCAAGAGUUAGAAGAGGAAAGUUGCAUUUUACAGAGGAAAAUGAGGUUGGGUCAUAUUUCUCCAUUGUGCUACAUGUAAGCACAGUCACACUAAGAGAUGGAAGCUCAGAGCAAGAUAGGGGAAAAUGAUGGAGAUAAGGUAGCUCUAUGAGUUCCCCAAAUGAGAGUUAAGCUAUCCCAGAGAGAUGUGUUUUGCAGUGGAAACAUGAUGGAAUAGAAGAAACACAAACAAGUAAGGACAUCAACACUAUUUCAAAGAGUACAACUGCAAGAAGAAUGAAACAGCCGCGGUCCUGAUCGUGGAGAGCUCCCAGCUAGACAGCUCCAGCUCCAAGGUGAACUCCAUCAAGUCCACCCUGAUGGGGGAGGCUCCAACUCAGGCAACCAACAGAUCUGCAGGCAUCCACCAGGGACUGAUGCUUGCUAGCAGUAAGAAGGGCAAAAUGCUAGAGCAGAUGGGAAAA